CCGCUGGAAAGACACCUCCGGCCACCACAACAACCGCGGCUGGAAAAGGUCGUUCUAAAGGCAUACUGAAACCUCAACCGAUUUCACCUGCUCUACAAAAAUUUGUCGGUACUUCUGAAAUCUCACGUACUGAUGCUGUUAAGAAAAUCUGGGAUUACAUCAAAACCAAUAAUCUUCAGGUCUACUUUCCAUUUCCUCUUUAUGUUACUUAUGAUAGAGAAUAAACCUUCACAUGUUGAUAGUAUUGCUCUAUGCAGUAGCCUUUUUUGAAGAAAUGUAUGUUUGAAGUUGUUAGAUAUAGACUAUAGUACUAUGAAAUUACUAAUUUGGAAACAUUUUGAAGGAUUUGAGCUGUGAAAAUAGACUCUUUGCUAAAAUGAGGAUUUUUUUGUUUGUAUCAGCUAUAUCAACUACAAUGUCGUAAAAUGCAAAUGUUAGUGUAGAUGUAUAGUAACUAGCCUAUUAGAUGAUAAAAUAGAAGUACUUAUUUUAGCUGGUUUACCAUAUCCUAGCAGAAAUCCAAAUCCAGAGGUUUGUAGGGGUGACAGUAUUACAUUCGAAGUGCUAAAAGUGACGUGUAUAGUUAGCAUGGUAUGGGAAGAUAUUGCGUUUUCUUUUAAUGAAACAGUUUGCACAGGGAUGAUUGUUUUUCCUUGUGCUUCUGGAAGAUGUAUCAAUAAUUAACAAUAUAGUAAUGACUGCUAUAGAAUGUCAGAUGCAAUUAACAAUCAGUGUUGUCUGAUCCUUUUAGCUUUGUUCGUUAUAAGAUAGUUGAAUCUUUCUGCUCAAUCACAUAUUAGAUGGAAAUUUUAACAUUCUUGGAAAGUCUAGUUGUUUCGGCGAGAUUAGGAAGUCUUACCAAUGAUUUGAGAAUGUGCACCAGAUUAAAAGAUAUUGGUUUUUUUCCUAUCUAGUAGUAUACCGGCUGAUAAUGGAACAAAGGACCCUGUGAGAGUAGACUACUAGACGGUGGGGAUUUGAAGGGCUCUUGACAUUUUGGCAUUGAGGUUGUUACAAUCUCUGUAACGAGUUAGGCUACUGAUAGGCAUGUGACAUCCAAUGAUCAAUUCUCUCUUCCCUCUCUGUUAUUUACUUUGCGGCACUUUAUCUGAAGAGGUAGGAUGCUCAUGGUUUGAGCCUUUGAGGCCCUGGAAUACUGUGAUGUUCGAUUUGGUUGCCAUAUGCUGAAUAAUACAUGAGCUUUUAUUCUCAAUCUAUGUCAACACUUUGUAUUACCAGCUGGGGCAUCCUCUGUAAGGCCAAGCUGAAAAUAAUUGCUGAUAUAACAAGCCAGCAGUUUAAGCAUGUUUAACAACCUAUGCAAUACUCAAACUUAAAAAGCAUAAUUUCGUUGUGGAUAUAUUGAUGAGAUACUUCUUAAAGUGUAUUUGAUGGAAAAGCAGAAUACAAUGUAGCCAAGCAUGAUUCUCUAUAUUGCCCAUUUGCUUCCCCUCCUACUAUUUUCUUUUUUGGAGAUCGGUAACUUGCCCUGCUACUUUUUUUCUAUGUUAUUUUUCUCGUAAAAGAUGCCUUUUCAUGGUAGUUCAUUUGUUUGAGAUACUAUUAGAUGCAAAGAACAGCAACAAUUUUUAGGGCAGAGUUUUGUUUGCGUGUUGAUAUUGAAAUUUGGUAUUGCUUCAUCAAAAUACAAUAAUGUAGUUAGCAUGUGACUGAUCAACAAUCACCAACACUUGGGGUUUUAGGAAAAAUAUUACACUAUGGCCUUUGAGAUGAUGUUUUAUAAUCAUUUAGCAUUCGUUCUAUUAGUUGUUCGAGGCAUAGAUUUAUUUUGAGUGUUGUUGUAACAAGAUGAUUGUCAUUGAUUUCUAAAACUAUCAUAAUUAUUGGUUUUUUUAGUUUUUUAUCAGGUUGAGGACAAUCCACAUCCUUCUGAUGUUUGAGAAAAAAAGUUCUCUUUAGUUAAUAGUAUCUAAUCUGAUUGGCUACAUGUUUAAUCCACAGUUGAACAAAUGUGUGAAGUAGGUUGUAUACACAUUCAAUAUAUACCCCCUUUAGUUUCCUUUGACAAGUAAAAUUCAUGAUCUGCAGAACCCUGCAAACAAGAAGGAGAUAAAUUGCGAUGACAUGUUGAAGACAAUAUUUGCUGGCAAGGACAAAGUUGGGUUUCUAGAGAUCGCAAAACUGCUUUCCAAUCAUUUUCAAAAGGCUUCUUAAAUUCCCCAAUUUGCAGUUCCUGUAAAACAUUAGGGGCUUUUCUUGGUACUACUGAACAUUGUAGUUAGUAACUUCUCCUUUUUGUAACCCUUCACUCUGGUAGUGAGUUGUGGUGCAUAGAUUUGAAAUCGGUAAGCUUUUGCAGUGUUUUAUGCCUGCUACUAUCCACAUUUUCUUUUUCCUGUUCUUCACUUUCGACUGAGCUGGAUUUAAUCAAGUGACAUCCACAGUUCAUGAUUCUAACUUUCUCAGGAUUGAUGUGUGGUAAUAGUUAUAGUUUUCUUAAUUAUUAGUAGUUUUUUUUUUAUAUUUAUUUUGCUGUUAAAUCAAAUACAUUAUCAGUAGAACUUCUUGGCCUAUUUGGUUAUUUUCUAAAACCCUCCAGUGGAGAGGAAGGAUGAAUUGUUAGUGUUGAUGUAGAAGAUAAGAUUGAAGGACAUGUAUUUAGGUUCUUAAUUAGGUAAUUUUAUUGCAUAAUUACACUUAUACACAUGUGUAACUAAAAAACCUAGGCCGUUGAAAAAUCGAGGUUGCGAAGCCAGAGAUCGCUAUCUUCUCGCACUUUACGUACCCUUAUACAGAUGGCCAACGCUGUGUACAUACGAUAUGAAAACACAAAUAUUGGAUCCAGAAAUCUGGAAUUCUGGAUCAUCAAAAUUUUAUGGACUAGCAAAUAAAAUCGGUAAAAUGAGAGUUUAUCUAUUCUGAGAUUUUCUUGACCUUGUUAAUGGCUCGGUUUGCCCGUCGAGAUUAACUGGUUCUAUUCCUAAGUUUUUAAUGGACUUUCAUGAAAAUUUUUGACAAAAACAAAUUUAAAAUUUCGGAUCACCAAAAAUUCAUGGACUAUAGCACACAAAAAUCGACAAAAUGGAAAGUUACGUGCUCUGGGCUCGUUUGACAUCUUAAAUGGGCCGGUUCGCAAGUCGGUACCUGUUGGCUCCUUGUCAAGGUUUUAAUAGACGUCCAUGAAAAAUUUCAGAAAAGAAAAAAUUGAAAUUCUGGAUCACCAAAAAUUCAUGAACGCACACGAAAAUCGUUAAAAUGAAUGUUUACCUGCUCUGGAGCUCGUUUGGCCAUCAGGACUAACUGGCUCUAUUGUUAAGGUCUUAAGGAACGUCCAUGAAAAAAUUUGGCGAAGAAAAUCUGAAUUUUUGAAUCGCCAAAAAUCAAUAGACUAUAGCAUACGAAAAUUGGCAAAAUGGAUGUUUACCUUCUUUGGGGCUCGUUUUUGACAUUGAAAAUGGGUUGGAUCUCCCGUCGGGACCAACUGACUCCAUUGUUAAAGUCUUAGCAUGCGUCCAUGAAAAGUAUCAGCAAAACAAAAACGGAUCGUAAAAAAUCAAUAGACUAUAGCACAUGAAAAUCGGCAAAAUGGGUGUUUACUUGCUCUGGGCUCGUUCGACCUUGAAAUGUGUUGGUUUUCUCGCCGCGACCAACUGAAUCCAUUGCUAAGGUUUUAACGGACGUCAAUGAAAAAUUUUGGCAAAACAAAUUCGGAAUUUCGAAUCGCCCAAAAUUCAUGGACUAUAACACACGAAAAUAGGUAAAAUGACAGUUUACCUGCUCUAGGACUCGUUGGAACUUGAAAAUGGAUCGGUUUGUCUGUCGUGUCCAACUGGAUCCAUUGCUAAGGUCUUAACAGACAUUUAUGAAAAUUUUCGACAAAAAAGAAAAUUGAAAUUUCAAAUCACUAAAAAUACAUGAAUGAUAAUACACAAAAAUCGACAAAAUAGAGAUUUGAAUACUUGUUCCUAUAAUAUGUAAAUCAUUAUAGUAAACUUAAGAUAAAUGUUUCCCUUUUGUUUGUUGAAAUAUAGUACCAACAACAAGCUUGUAUGACAGACGAAGCAGAACCAUUCAUGGGCUCGGGUCUUUUUGGUAUUUUACAUUUUAGUCUAUCAUGUAAUUAUAGAUUAUAUAAUUUAAUGUAGUAUAGAUUACUUAAUUUAAGUUGUUAUGAGGCUUAUACAGUUUUGCACUUAAUAUUAUCCUGCAUCUCUAAUGACCUAUCAUUAGAGAAAAAAUUAUAAAAGUUUAAUUUCUAUUUAGUAUAUAAUUAAGAUAUUUGGCUUGAAUUAUGGAGAGGUGUUCAAAACUCAAAGGUUGAAAAUAAAAAAGAUUUAUUUGGGGAAUAAGUCAAAAGCCUAUGAUAUGUAAUUAACAUUACAAUUAGUGAGGAAAACAAGAAAAUAAGUCAAUUUGUCGUGGAAAAAGGUUGACCAUAAAUACUCUUUUGCAUUUACUAUGGUUAUCAAUUGCUCCACCACGUAAAUACUUG
rnacentral:lncRNA from 1 species